UUGAAGAGUAUGUUAUUUACUUUUAAGGAAAGCGGGGAAUGAAGGAGAAGUGGAGGAGCAGGAGCAGGAGCAGGAGCAGGAGAGAAAGGUGAUUAAGAUUAAGAGACGUGUGUGAGCGCGUAGCAUUGAAUAUUAGGGGUAGCCAUGUUUAUUAGCUGGCGUUCCAGCAUUGCCAUUUCAUCACCGCCAAUCCCAAUUCCAAUUCCAAUUCCAAUCCCCAACGAGGAGCCUUUAUCAUUCUCCACCUCCAUCUUCAACUUCUCCUCCGAAAACCCUAGGAUCGAGGAGACCCGCGGCCUCAUGCAUCUCUUCCCCGACCAAGUUCCCCCUUCUACCCUCCCUUUUGGACGCAAACCCCUUGUCUGUGUCGUCAGCGUCCCCAAUCACAUGACCUACGCCGACUUCUGCCAGUUCUGUGGUUCCUUCCUUCACUACAUCCUUGAGAUGCGCAUUGUCAGAAUGGAUGGAACGGAAGAUCAGUACAGCGUUUUGAUCCGCUUCGACAAUCAAGGCUCCACCGACAGCUUCUUCAAGCAUUACAAUAGCCGUCGUUUCUCCUCUCUGGUUGAGGUUUGCCGUAUUCUUUUCACGUUGAAUGUGUAGUACAUUGGUUCCAUUGAACAUGCCCAACCAUCCAAUGCUACCUCCGUUGAACAGCCCACAUGUCCAGUUUGCCUUGAAUUGUUAGAUCAAGACACCAGUGGAAUUCUCACUACUCUAUGUAAUCAUUCUUUUCAUUGUUCCUGCAUAUCAAAAUGGGCUGAUUCUUCUUGUCCUGUGUGUCGUUAUUGCCAACAGCAAGCUGAAAAAUCCAUAUGUUCUGUUUGUCGGACGACUGAAAACCUUUGGAUAUGUGUGAUAUGCGGGUUUGUUGGCUGUGGAAGAUAUAAAGCAGGACAUGCCAUCAUGCACUGGAAAGAGA